GAAACAAGAGUUGUAUUUCAAAAAGAUGCAUGUGAUGAGCUGGUAUUAAGGAAGAUCUAAGAACAGUGGAGCGUAUGCUAUUAGCCAAAGAAUUUAGCUUCACAGACCUUGUCCUCAUCCCCUUCCACACUGCCCCUACCUUUCAUUUCUACCCAGGGCUGUUUGUGUCUGCAAAACAGGAUAUUCAGCCAGACCUUCCAGCAACCCUUUGCAAUCUGCAUGGUUUGAUGAAGUCCAGUGACAGUCUCAAUAUACUCAGUUAAGUGAAUGUAAUGUCCUGCUGUGUAAAAACUAAAAAUUAAACAAAAAUUUUGUAUUUACAUCUAACAAGUAGUACCCUGGCUGAAUGAGGUGAUGGGUUCAUCUUCUUUGCUUACUGCUAUGGCGGUCUUCAUUGAAGUGAAAGGCUUAACUAUUUUAAGCAUAGCCCUUAGUUUUAUUCUAGGGCUAGGAAGGUAAAUGUAAUAACCUGGUGGUUCACUAUACAUCCUAGCCUCUAUAGAAACGUUGUUCUUUAACAGUGAUGAAUUGAACAUCACUAAUUGUAGUUGUCAAUGAACAAACUAUGUUAUUGGGGUCCCUUCUGCAAUGAACUGAGAAUCGCUGAUAGUAGGCAGACAAAAGUGAGAGAAGUAUCCAAGUAUACAGAUAUCCAUUCUGCGCAUAUAUUGUGCAAAGGCAGAGAAUGACAUUGCCAGCCAGCAAGAAAAAAAAAUCUUGGGAUAGUAAGAGUCACAGGGAAACAUGAAUAUUUGGAGAGUGUGAUGACUCCACCAGCACCUUGCUUGUUAACUAAGGUACUGCAACAAAUAGAGAAUGUAGGCCAAGAGGUGAUAGCUGAGUGAAAAUCAUGCUGGAUGAAGGAAUUUGCUUUUCCUCCUAUUUGUAUGAAGUGACAUUUCUGAAAAAUAGCAAUAAUAUCUGCAACCUAAGAUGGCACUUGACAAAUGGUGCUUUUUCCUCAUUGUUAGUGCUCUUUGUUCAUAUUAGGCUUAAUGGAGUGCGGAAGUAAUCGAAUUUAUGUCAUUGCUUUAGCUUGUAUUAAAAGCCAUUAUAGCCCCAAGGAGAUACCCAGCAGCUAUCUUGUUCUCAGUUUAGAGAAGAGCACAGAAUCUGAUGUCACAUACAGCACGCACACACACAAAAAUGUUUACGUGGUUUGAAAUCAUAUAACUGAGUUAGUUUGCAUCUAAUGAGCAACUAAUGGAUGAUUUCCAUUAAUAGGGAUAUUUAACAGCAGAUGAUAGGCCAAACUGCAGAGCUUCCAGCUGGCACCUGAUAAGUAGUUUCAUCCACGUAACUGUGAUUACAGCCUGAAAUAAGGGUUUCUGCUCAGGGCAUAACCAUACCAUGACAAAGAGGAAAGCUGCUUUGAAAACACCGCUUGCUGCUUUUUCUCAUACACCUUGUGCAGGAAAGAGGAUCUGGAAACAUAUUUAUAGUCACUAACUACAACUAUCUAGGGUACAAGUCAGUCUGUUGGUGGCUUGAAAAGUAAUGGGUCCCUUUAAUGAGCAGUAGUGCUCAUUGAAGGCCUUCAUUUAAACAGGGUUAAGCCCACAUUGAAAAUGUGGCAGGACAUAGCUCACGUCCUGGCGGCCCAGUUAUACUAGGGUAAACACCUCACAAGUACUAAUCUAAACAAUUAAUUCUGUUAAGCUGACAGUCAUUGAAGAAAGGAUUCUUUGGGAGAUAUCCAAUUGUUCUUUUUUGAGGUGAUCCUGCCCCUCUACUCUGCUCUCAUGAGACCUCACUUGGAGUACUGAUUGCAAUUCUGGUGUCCACAACAUGAAAAGGACAUGGAACUGUUAGAGUAAGUCCAGAGGAGGGCCACGAGAAUGAUAAGGGGGCUGGAGCACCUCCCAUAUGAAGACAGGCUGAGAAAGUUGGGGCUGUUCAGCCUGGAGAAGAGAAGGCUGAGUGGAGACCUCAUAGCAGCCUUCCAGUAUCUGAAGGGGGUCUACAAGGAUGCUGGGGAGGGACUCUUCAUCAGUGAUUGUAGUGAUAGGACAAGGGGUAAUGGGUUCAAACUUUAACAGGGAAAGUUCAGGUUGGAUAUAAGGAAGAAGUUCUUUACUGUGAGGGUGGUGAGGCACUGGAACAGGUUGCCCAAAGAAGUGGUAAAUGCUCCAUCCCUGGCAGUGUUCAAGGCCAGGUUGGUCAGAGCCUUAGGUGACAUGGUCUAGUGUGAGGUGUCCCUGCCCAUGGCAGGGGGUUGGAACUAGAUGAUCUUAAGGUCCUUUCCAACCUUAACUAUUCUAUGAUUCUAUGAUUCUAAGAUACUAUGACUCAGCUGUAAGUACUGCAAGAAUAUCCUGCCUCUCCAUUAUUGUGUUUCUUGUGACUACAAAAUCAAUAAAGACUGAGAAUAUAAAAGCCAACCAUACUUUGAGAUACAAUUACUAUGAAA
ensembl:lncRNA